CAGUCGCCCGGGAAUACAGAGGGUGCGAGCGUUAAUCGGAUUUACUGGGCGUAAAGCGUGCGUAGGCGGCUUUUUAAGUCGGAUGUGAAAUCCCUGAGCUUAACUUAGGAAUUGCAUUUGAUACUGGGAAGCUAGAGUAUGGGAGAGGAUGGUAGAAUUCCAGGUGUAGCGGUGAAAUGCGUAGAGAUCUGGAGGAAUACCGAUGGCGAAGGCAGCCAUCUGGCCUAAUACUGACGCUGAGGUACGAAAGCAUGGGGAGCAAACAGGAUUAGAUACCCCUGUAGUCCCUGUCUCUUAUACA
rnacentral:rRNA from 1 species